rnacentral:rRNA from 1 species
UCGGGAUUACUGGGCGUAAAGCGUGCGCAGGCGGGUUUGUAAGCCAGAGGGGAAAUCCCCGGGCUUAACCUGGGAAUGGCAUUUGGGACUGCAAGGCUUGAGUGCGGCAGAGGAGACUGGAAUUCCUGGUGUAGCAGUGAAAUGCGUAGAUAUCAGGAGGAACACCGAUGGCGAAGGCAGGUCUCUGGGCUGACACUGACGCUCAUGCACGAAAGCGUGGGGAGCAAACAGG